rnacentral:lncRNA from 1 species
GUUGCAGUUUCCAAGAAUCUAUUGAUGAUGUGAAGUGAGGACUUACAGUAUACACAAAGAAGUGAAGAUCUCUGGAAAUGGCUAAAAUAAAGGGUUGAAUGCCUUGUGAAGGUUUGAUGAAAGCAAGUCACUUAGAAAUGCUAUCAGAUUAAGUACAGGAAGACGUUUAUAUUUCUGAGAAUUAAAACAUCAAAAGCAGCCAUUAAUGUGAUGUUUCCUUAAAUUCACAAAAGAAGAAUCAAAUAAUGUUUAUAUGAGGGGGUACUGAAAAAUGUGUACAAAGUAUUCUUGGAGCACAAAUGAGAGACUUCAACUCUUUCUCAAACAUCAGUGAUGAUUUUACAGAGAAGACAUUUGUGUUGCAUUAAAAGAAGGAAUUUACAAAGUAGAGAAGAGGUGAAAGCAAGAAGGGUGAUGUGGAAGAGCCAACUGAGGAAGGACAGAGGUCUCAGCGUGGAAGGAGUACAGGAAAUGAUGAAGAUAUAGCGGGUACAUGUGCAGGUUUGUUACAUGGGAAUAUUGCAUGAUGCUGAAGUUUGGAAUAUGUAUCCCAUCACCCAAUUGGUGAGCUUAGUACAUGAGUCAGAAAUAAUAGAUCGUGUCCUCACCCUGCAUCUCUCUGGCCACCUCUGCUUCCAGCUUCUACCUUUAAGGACCCUUGUGAUGACAUUGGGACCAGCUUCAUUUCUCCAAAUGUCCUCCUCUCAUACCUCUCCUUGCACAUCAAGCUGCUCACCCUUUGUGCUUUUGCACAUGCUGUUUGAUUAUGAAACUCCAUGACCCUCCUCCUCAUGAUUCACUUGACUGACUAUUCAACGCUCAGUUCAGGUGGCUCUUCCUUCAGAAAGCCUUUUUCCAUCUACUGUCCUACUGCCCCUCCCAAGUUAAGAGCAGGUGCUGCAAACGGACUGCAUUUGUUGGGGUUGCUCAGCAGGAAAUUGGGGGGGCAGUGAGUGACUCACCAAAACUGAGGGAUACGAAAGGACAAUAGAAUAACAACAGAGAAAAACAUGAAGACAGAAAGGACACCAAAAGAUUUAUGAGGCUUUAAAUUCAGUUGUAAAGUCAAGACUGAUGGAAGAAAUAUUAAUGAACAUACCUGGAAGACUCAUAGAUUUUAUGAAAGACCUUCAUAGAUAUCGUCUACAACCUGCAUAUAUUAUAUAAUAAAAUAUUGAUAGAACUACAUAUUGGAAAUAAUUAUUUUUAAUAAAUUACUGUAUAUAUAAUUUAAUUUUCUGAUAAACCAGUGAAAAUUAAAAAUAUUGUCCUUUUGUACCAUACACAAAAAUUCUGUCCAUCUGCCUAGUGUAACACAACAAAUUCCUUGAUCAAAUAAUGGAUAAGAGCUCAAUACCAGAAUUAUUGAAUACACUGAGAAAAAUUUAAUGCAUAGUUAUUUCAGAUUCACAUAUUAUGCAUUGCUUCAUUUAAAACCCUAAUUAAUAUCCCAAAAGAAUUAUCUUAUGAACAAAUUUUUUCCAGAAAUUAUUUAUCUCACCCAUACUGGUAAAAUAAACAAUAAAUAUUAAGCCAAUGGUAGGAAAGGUCCAUUUUGAUGCAUUUUUUACAUCAAAAUUAAUGAGGUUUAAGCAUGCAAUGCCAUUAAAAAUUUUUUUUAAAGUCUAUUCUUUGUGUAAAGCCCAGGAUUACUUUUUGGGAUGGUAGUAAUGUUUGGAGUGUAUAAGAGUUUCCAACCAUUUGGAAGGUAUUAGCUUUAAUCUGUAGCAGACUAUUAUGGUAUUUGCAAGUCUAUCUUUGAAAUUGUCUCACUUAAGUUAAUGUAAUAUGUACCUCAUUAAAGAAAUAUAAAAUGCAAGCUUUUCUAUUUUAACCAAGCUAAAAAAAAUAGCCAAUUCUGAAUAUCUAAAAUAUUCUUGAACUUUUUGUAUUUUUUGAGGAAACUAUAACAACUCUUGCCAAAGAAGCAUUUUCUAAAUUUCUCAAAAAGUUAUUUGAGUUAGAAAGUUAAAUAAUUGAUUUUGCUUAAUUUCUUGCCAGCUGGGGACUUACAAAGAGAGCAUUUAUUUAAAAACCAAUUAAAUAUGGUGUGUCAGUGGAACAUAGUUUGGAGAAGGAAGAUGCAUGCUGUGACCAAAAUUUAACACAUAUCCUCGAAGUAUCUAAAUUUCCUGAACUUCUUGCAAAUGAGCUGGUUCAUGCUUAAAUACUUAGUACAUCAAUCUUUAACUUGAAAGAUUAUAUUUAUAUAUUUUAACUUUUAUUUGAAUAAAAGUUACUCAUCACGCUUUUAUUUGAUAAACCAAAUAUAAUGCUUUAUAUAGUCUUCAGAGAAUGAAUGUCAGCAAAUAAAAGCUGAGGUCUCAAGCUAGGCACACUAAAGUUUUAUCAUAAUGAGACUGUGUCAACAAAGUAGAAUUAUAAUGGUUCCUCUUGGGAUAACAGUGGGAAUUAAUUUUAAAAUGGAAAUGUGAAAUACUUAAAGUUAGAAAGAUGAAUGUUAGUAAGCUAGUAAUUUACUAGCUUAUUAAUUUAGAGGGAAAAAUAUGAAGUAAAGAGAACUUUUAUGAAAUUUUCACAAGGAGGUCAAAACAUUAGCUAAGGAUAGCUAAGGUAAAUUUACAUGCACUUUAACUUUACCACAUGAAUGAUUUGUCAAUGAAUUAGAAAACCAAGCAAAAAUCUUCAAACCUGUCACAAUCUUUUCAUGUAGUCCAUAACCUGUAAAAUUCACAGCCUAUGUUACCUAAGUCUGCAUGAACGUUUCCAACAAUGAAUCAGCAUGUGCAAAAGAAAACCAGCACAGAUUAAAUGCUGAGUGUGCCUGGGUAUCCCCAAACAUAUCUACCCAAGCUUCCUAUACGUCAUAUUUUUCUUUUUACAGUGUCAAGCAACAAAACAUACAGAAACAGAAGUGAGUGAUGGAAAAACAGUAUUUUAAAGUCACAUUGUCAUAUACACUCAUUCUUUUGAUGUUGUUUUAUGAACACUUUCAAGAAUCUAUAUCUAAUCAGUCUAAACCUUUGGUAAUACAGGAUUGAGACAUUUUAAAUUUGUUCCUAAGAAAUUAAACAAUACAGAUUCAGCUAAAACUUAUGUAUGUAUAUCUCUUUUCAAUGCAGUUCUCCAGUCUUCCUUCUGUAAAUGUGACUUAGUAAGUUCGGGGUGCUGUAACAAAUACCAUAGACUGGAUGACUUAAACAACAAACAUUUCCUUCUCACAGUUCUAGAGUCUGGAAGUGUAAGAUCAGGGUUCCAGUAUAGUGGGGUUCUUGGUGAAGGCCCUGUUUUUGGUUUGCAAACAGACAUCUUCUUAUUGUAUCUUCACAUGGCAAAGUGUAGAGAGAGAUGAAACAAACUCUUUCUUGUCUCUUCUUAUAAGGAUACUAAUUCCAUCAUAGGACUCCAUUCUCAUGACCUAAUUAACUUCCAGAGGCCCCAUCUCUAAAUCCCAUCACAUUGGAGAUUAAAGUUUUAGUAUAUUGAUGUUGGAUGGACAAAAAUAUUCAGUCCAUAUCAAGAUGUAACCACCAUAGUGAAUUUAGUGUUUAUCAUUUUCAAUAAUAUGUUUGUCUUAUAUUUUUACCACAAACCUACCAUGCAUAAAUAUACACAGUAAUAGGUAUCAUAAUGUUUAUAUAGGAUUAUAAAUUGCUUUUUUAAUGGACCUAUAUUUUGAGUUCUGUGCUCAAAAUAUAGAUAAAUUUUCUAGAUAAAUUUUCUAGUUUGUUUUUGUGACAAUAGAUAUGCUGCAAUUUCAUUUGUUUGUUCUGAGAUGGGUAUUUAAGAUGCUUCAGAUAUUUGCUAUUACAAAUAAUGCUGAAAAAAGUGUGUUUUAUCAGGCAUACAUUUAAAAGUUUCUAUAGCAUAUAUCCCUAGAAAUAGAAUUUCUGGAUUUUAAGACAUACAAAUCUUAAUUUUACUAGAUAUUGUUAAGUUGCUUCCCAUAGAGGUUGUAUCAAUUUACUCUGCUACCAUAAACAUGACAAUUCUUUGCCAGCAUGCAGUUUUGUGAUAUUUCCAAAAAAUUUCAUCAGUCUCAUGCACCUAAUUUUUGUUUUAAAUUGAAUUUCUAUGAUUGCUUACAAAAUUAAGCAACUUUUCACAUUUAUUGGCCAUGUAGAUUUCUUCUUUUGUAAAUUGCUCCCAUGUUUAUUUUAUUUUCAUUCACUUCUUUGCCGUUUGCUUAUUCAUUUGUAGAUGUUAAUUAUAUUUUCUGAGUAAUAAUCCCUUGUUAUAUCUUUACUGGGGCAGGAGACAUUGGCUGUGUGUUUGUGUGUGCACACGUGUGUUGUGUGUGUAUGUAUGUGCAUAUAUGUAUUUGGGUCAGUUGUCCCUUGAUAUCCAUGGAGGAUUGGUUCCAAAACCUCCUACAGAUGACAAAAUAUGCAGACUCUCAAGUCCCUGAUAUAAAAUAAAAUGGCGUAUUCGCAUAUAGCCUAUGCACAUCCUUCUAUAUACUUUAAAUCAUCUCUAGAUUACUUACAAUGCCUAAUGCAAUGUAAAUACUAUGUAAAUAGUUGUUCUACAAUAUCAUUUAGAUAUAACAAGAAGAAAAUAAAGACUGUACACAUUCAUUACAGACACAGUAUUUUUCAAAUAUUUCUACCCACAUUUGGUUGAAUUUAUGGAUGCAGAGCCCACGAAUAAGAAGGGCCAGCUAUAUAUAGUCUAUACAUAAAUCUGAUAUACAUCUGUUCCACCUGGAUGGGUGUGUUUUAGGACAUUGUUACAUUGCUUUAUUUGUCUUGCUCUAUAAUAUCUAGUAAGUGGUUUAAUUAAGAUAACUUAAAAAUAAAUAUUGAUUUUUGCAGGAAAAACACCUCUCAAUACAUAUUUUAUUCUCCUUUGUCUAUUUUUUAUAUUUUCUUUUUGCCAUGAAGUUUAAAUUACCUUUUCAAGUUUUAUGUGACAACUAUUUAUCCAGCUUUAGUAGCAAUUCUUAAAUUAGCAAUAUGUUUUAUGAAUGUAACUUAUAUUUUGUUUGUUUUUUAUAAUUUUUCUUUUUAGUUUGUUGGGGGUACAUAUUAGGUGUAUACAUUUAUGAGGUAUGUGAGAUAUUUUGGUACAGGCAUGCAAUACAUAAUAAUCACAACAUGGAAAAUGGGGUAUCCAUCCUCUCCAGCAUUUAUCCUUUGUGUUCCAAAUAAUCCAAUUAUAUUCUGUUAAUUAUUUGAAAAUGUACAAUUAAAUUAUUAUUGAUGACAGUCACUCUGUCAUGCUAUUAAAUACUAGGACUUAUUCAUUUAUUCUAAUAUUUUUUUGUACUCAUUAAACAUCCCCAUCUCCCUGCCAACACAACCCAAUACUCUUCUCACCCUCUGGUAACCAUCCUUCUGCCCUCUUUCUCCAUGAGUUCAACUGUCUUCAUUUUUAGAUCCCAUGAAUAAGUGAGAACAUGUGAUGUUUGUCUUUCUGUACCUGGCUUAUUUUACUUAACAUAAUGACCUCCAGUUCCAUCUGUGUUGUUGCAAACGGCUGAAUCUCAUUCUUUUUUUAUAUCUCAAUAGUACUCCAUUAUGUAUUUGUGCCACAUAUUAUUUAUCCAUUCAUCUGUUGGUGGAUACUUAGGUUGCUUCCAAAUUUUGGCUAUUGUGAACAAAGCUGCAACAAACAUGGGAGUGUAGCUAUCCCUUUGAUAUAAUGAUUUCCUUUCUUUUGUAUAUAUACCCAGCAGUGGGAUUGAUGCAUCGUAUGGUAGCCCUAUUUUUAAUCUUUUGUGAAUGUAACCUACUUUAAAUGAUUGAUGCAAAUUAGGUUCCUAAGGCUUACAUUUCCCCAAACAUUUAUUUAUUUGUCUGUUUAUUUACUUAAUUUGAUUAUGGUAUAAUAAAUUUAAGUUGUUUAGAGUAUACAAUUGUAUCUAGUUUUGACAUCUCUAAACACCUGUGAAUGCUUUAAGACAAUUAAGAUGAUCAUUUUUAUUAUUCCUAAAGUUUAAUUGUACUACUUUCCAUCCCAUCCCUCCUUUUACCCCUGCCCCAGGCAAUUACCAGUGUGAUUUCUAUUUCUGGAUUUAGUUUACACUUUUUAGAAUUUUAUACACAUGACAUCAUAUCAUAUGCAUUACUUUUGUAUAGUUUCUUUCAUUUAGCAAAUAGAUUUUUAUAAUCAUCCAUGUUGUGGUCUGUAUCAAUAGUUUAUUCCUUUAUUUUCUGUGUGAUAGUGAAUGAAUGAUCCAUUGAAUGGAUGUAUUUCAAUUUACGUAUGCAUUAACCUGUUGAUGGAUAUUUGCAUUUUUUUCCAGUUUGAGGCUCUUACAUAUAAAAUUGCUGUGAAUAUUUAUGUACAAGCCUUCAUGUGAAUGUGCCUUUAUGUUUUAUUGCUCUUGGAUAUAUACCUAGGAGUGGAAUGCCUAGAUGAUAUGGCAGGCAUUUAAGUUUUCACUAAACUGCAAAUUAGUUUUUAAAGUGGUUGUACUAUUCUACAUUCCCACUAGCAGUGUAAGAGAAUUCCAGUCCUUUCAUAUUAUCACCAAUACUUAGUGUGGUUAGAACUACAUUUUUGUGUUAAUUUCUCAGCCUACUUAUGUAAAUUCAAGCACAAAACUCAUGUGAGAAGUGGGAAAAAUUUGACAAAUCCCAGAUAAUAUUUUUCCUUGCCUAACCAGAGCAGAGUCCUGGUCAGAUAAUAUCCCUUAUUUUCUUUCUCUACAGGUGUGUGGACUUGUUUUUGCCCACUCUUUCAUUGAUGGUACAGCACUUUAAAGGCCCUCGCUUUAGGCGAUGGCUCCUUUCAUAACUUCCUAACUUUCAGGACCUGAAGGACUCAUCUCCUAUGCCUGUGUGUGUCACUAGGCUUUUGAGACAGGUAAGGCAACACCUAUCACUUGCUGCCCCAACUUCCCAAUUUCUACCCCCAGUCCCAAUUUUUAUAGCCUCCUCUUCUGGACUACAUUUCCCUCUUUGAUUUUGUUCUUAAAGAAAUUGAGACUAGCUAAUUAAAAUUAAUGUAUGCACAUUUACUAUUUUGGUUACUUCUACAGCAAAACAAAACUAUUAGCUAAUUAACCAAAUAUAUUCUCCCACAAUUUUUUUUUUGUGUAAGCCAAACAAUUAAAUUAAAUUUAAAAAGUAGAAUAAAAUAAGAACUUUGAAGCAGUCCCAUUCACAAUAGCUGAGAGGUGAAAGCAGCCCAAAUAUCCAUUGAUGGAUGGAUGAAUAAACAAAAUGUGUUAUAUUCAUACAAUGAAAUCUUUUUCAGCUUUAGAAAGGAAGGAAAUACUGUCGUAAACUACAACAUGAAUGAACCUUGAAGACAUUAUGCUAAGUGAAAUAAGCCUGUCACAGAAAAAAAAAUACGGUAUGAUUCCACUUGUAUGAAAUAUUUAAAGUAAGAAAAUUCAUAGAAAUACAAAAUAAAUGGUGGUCACUAGAGGCUGGAGAAAGGGGGAAAAGGAAGGUUGUUGUUUAAUAGGUAUAGAGUUUCAUUUUGCAACAUGAAAAAUCCUGGAGGUUUGUUUCACAACAAUGCGAAUAUACUUAACACUGUCAAACUCAUCCUUAAAAAUGGUUAAGAUUGUAAAUUUUGUUAUGUGUUUUUUACCUAGAAAAAUAAAUAAAUAAAAGCUUUGAGUAGUUUUCCUUCUAUGAGUUCUAAGAAAACUGUCUUCCUGUUUCUCCUGCGCUAAGAAGAUUACUAACUUUUCCCACAAAUAUUGGCAUGCAUAUUUACUGAAGCUUUUGAGCAAGACCAACAACAAUAGUUCCACUGUGAUGGAUUUCUGAAUACUGAAUGAGGCUGAGAGAAUUUUAAAAGAUUUGGACUCACUGUGACCUCUACUCACUGAAGCACUGAAGUUCAGAUUCCACUGCUCAAAGGGCAGACGAGUUUCCCUACUUACCAGAUGUCAGCUGAAGCAUGGUCCUUUUUUUUUUUAGCUGAAAGGCAACUCUCUCUGCAUUUUCUUUAUCAGCAAUGAAGCUCAAAGGAAAUGGCUUUCUGUGAACUAUGACAGUUUCUUUUUAUGGGACAAUUGUGUAUAUUCAAAUCUCAUUAUCCUGAAGCUUAUCUCUAAAAGUUAGUUAAUGAAGUUAACAAUACUCCUGAAAAACAUAAAAACAAACAUAAACAGACUAAUUUAUUUAUUUUAAAACAGGAACAAUACCAAUAGCUUUAUCUGAAAUAUACACAGAAUAUCAAAAUUUAUAUCAUUUUAGAAAUUUUAUGUGCAGUGCCAAGAUAGGUUUCCCUUAAUAUGCAAUUGACUUUUUCAAUGGACUUUUUCACAUUGUGAAAACAGUAAUUUAAUUUUCCCUGUUAACUUCUAAUUAGGAAUUGUAGACAUUUUUGGAAGAAGAAAGAGAGGGGCCCAUUAAAAACCUUUCAGUAUAUUCAGUAACUUUACUCCUUUGACACAAUCACUUCACAGAGCACCUCUUUUGAAUAGUUUCUUUUAUAAAUCUGAAUUUGUAUUUCUCAGUUCCUUUUAAAGUCCACUCAGCAGGACAGAGUUUUAAGUUAAAAUUUUGAGGGGAGAGAAAAAAUCCUUUCCAUAAACAACUUUUAGGAAUGUGGUAUAUAACAGUAGAUUUUCAGACUAUGUAGCUUUUCUUCUUACAAACUUUUAAGAGUGGAUUUAACUCUUGUCAGAAACAGUGAGGCCAAAGUGAUGAAAUAUAGUUUCCCGACCACCUCUUUUGGACUUUCAGUUUAUUUCAAGAUUGCUAUUAAUACUUAUACUUUACAAUAAUUCCCUGUCAUUAUUCUAAAAGGUAGUGUUCUUUGAGAGUUUGAAAGCCAAGUGGUUAGAAAUUUAGGAAGUGGAAGAUUUUCACUUGUAGCAUAAAAAUGGUAAAAAAAAAAAAAAAAAAGUACAGUAUUUCCUAAUAAUAUGAAAUUGAAACAUGAUAGCAAAUUUUAAAGAAAAGCAAAACUUAAAAAAAGAUAUACCCUUUAUAAUAACCCAAAUGUUUUUUAAAACAGAUUUCAGAUUAUUUCUGCCUGUGUUCUGGUUUACCUACCCUCUAUAGAUGGUAGAGUGGCUUCAGCUGUAACUUGGAAGUAAAUUUAAUGAACUGUCUUCUACCUUCUUAGAAUUUAAGUUGACUUUACCUUACACUAAGUGAAUUAAAUGACCACAGGUCAUGUUAGCAGAAAAUUACCCUCAGAGUGACUCUUAAACUAUUCUUAUUUGGUGUAUGUGGGGGCAGCAGCAUGAGGUAAGAAAAAGGAAUUGUGGAUCUAAAGCCAGAGGCUUGGGGUCAUUUGCAAGCUUCACUACCAAUAUCUAUACAUCUACCUUGAGCAAGCCAUGUAUACUCUUUCUCUCCAAUAGAAUAGAUACAAAAAUAAUUGCCCUGCCAUGUUAUUGGACUAUUAUCAGAAUCAAAUAAAAAUGUGAAUAAAAGAAAGAAAAAUAAUAAAAUUCUAGGAAAUACAAACCAUAGUAGUCUACGGCUUUAUCACAUUUAUAACAUAAUAACUUAGAAUCACGAAUUUUUUAAAUUAGAAUGGAAUAGAGAGCAUUUGCUAGUUUCUUGUUUCCUAACCGUUUUUAGGUCACAGACCUUAUUGGGAACUUAAUAUAAAUUCUGAACAUUGUAUCAGAAAAGUACACACACAUAUUCACAGGCACGAAAUAUUGCAUAUACUUUUUUGUGUGUUUGGUGUAUUGUGUGUGUGAAUGUCUGAUCAGUUUCAAUGCUUUCUUCUACAGAGUGGAUAAUGAAACUUAGAGAAAUGAAGAGACUGAAUUGAAGUCACACAGAAAGUUUGUGGCAGAGGUGUUUCUAGAGUACCUCUGCUAACUCACGCUCAGGUGCUCUGUUUCCCUAGACCAGGGACACUGAUGAGUGUCCUAAAGAGGAGCCUCGUUCAUUUCAAAGAGAGAUCUCAGGAGCAAAUACCAGACAGAGCCCUGGUAACCCUCACCACUUCUUUUAUCUGUUUUUUACAUUGGUCUUCCAAGACCCCAUCUUAUUUAAAAAAAUAAAGCUUGGAAACUGCUGCUGUAGGAGAAAAACACAAUUAUAAAUAUGAAGUGAGGAAAGAAAAGUAAUAGCAAAGUCAGAAAUUUCUUCUUAUCAUGUCCUUUCUGGAAGAAAAGUAUAGCUCCCAGAAAUUAUGACAUUCUUUAAAAACCACAGUGUCUGGUGGCCCAGAAAUGAGUAACUCUAAAAAUAUUUUCAAAAUUUAAUUCAGAAUUUUAAAGUCCCAAAAGAGUUAUCUCUAGAACUGUUUCACUAAAGAAUUCUACCAAAUGUUUAAGUAAGAAUUAACAUGAAUUUUUACAAUCUCUUAUAAGAAAUAGAAAAGAUGACACUUCAAAAUUUAUUUUAUGCAGCUAGUAUUACCCUAAUACCAAAAUGAGACAAAGACAGUACAAAAAAAGAAAAGCAAACUGGGAAAUCACAGACUAAUAUUCCUUGAGUAUAGCUGUAAAAAUUUUUGAACAAAUAAUAGCAAAUAAAAUUUGGCAAUAUAUAAAAAGAAUUAUGCACCCUGACCGAGUAGUGUAUAACUGGGUGAAAACAGGGCUGGUUGAAUAUUUGAAAAACAACCAAUAUAAUUUAUCAUAUUAACAGGCUGAAAAAGAAAAAUCACAUAAUUGUAACAAUUGAUACAAAAAACAUUUGAUAAAAUUCAACGUCUAUUCAUGAGAGAAUAAUUCAGAAAAUUACAGUUCAGAGAAAAACUCUUCAAAUACAAAAAACCUGCAUCUAAUAUCAUAUGUAAUGGAAAAACACUGAGUGCUUUUCUCCUAAGAUCUUGGACAAGGCAAACACAUCUGCCCUUACUCAAAAUAGAACCAAAAGUUCCAGCCCAUGUAAGAAAGCAUAAAAAGGAAAUAAAAGGCAUUAGGGUCAUAACAGAAGAAAUCAACUAUCCCUGUUUGCAGAAGUAAUGAUUGUCUAUGUAGAAUAUCCCAAAGAAUCUAUGAAGCUACUGUUAGAACGAAUAUCUAAUUUCACUAAGGUCACAGGAUACUAGAUCAGCAUACAAAAAUCAAUUUUAUUUCUGUAAACAGCCAUGAAUAUAUGAAAAGCAAAAAACAAAAUGUAAAACAUAAUACUAUUUUCAAUUAUUAACAAUGAGA